rnacentral:rRNA from 1 species
AGUCACUGACAUUAGAUACCCCGGUAGUCCCAGCCGUAAACUAUGCGCGUUAGGUGUAUCGGUGACCACGAGUUACCGAGGUGCCGAAGGGAAACCGUGAAACGUGCCGCCUGGGAGGUACGGUCGCAAGGCUGAAACUUAAAGGAAUUGGCGGGGGAGCACAACAACGGGUGGAGCCUGCGGUUUAAUUGGACUCAACGCCGGACAACUCACCGGGGACGACAGCAAUAUGUAGGCCAGGCUGAAGACCUUGCCUGAAUCGCUG